CUUACAGUGAGAGAAGUCAUGUCUAAAAAAUCUCAAAUCUUAAACUCAGUUUCAACUUAAGUUUGAGUUUUUGUCUUAGUUGAGAUUUUGCUCAAAUUGCAUUUCUCAAAACGAUCUUAGUAAAAUCUCAGCUGAGUUAAUCUUAUUGCUCAGCUGAGUUUAUUCCUCACGACACUAAGCGGCCCGUCUGUCAAAAAACGUAACAUCCGCACAGCUGUAUCUUUCGUAAACAAAUCGUCUGCUUGUCUUCUGCCGCGUAUAACGUCAAGAUGGAGGACUUUCCUAAAGCACGGAAACCAAAUUGGACCGAGAGAGAGCGUUUGGCCUUGGUGGAGGCGGUCCGAUGCAGAGAGGACCGCCUUUUCGGUAAAAUGAAGGGGGCAGGGGGAGUGAAGAACUCUCGUGUGAAGGAAUCGGCGUGGGAGGAAGUCGCUCAAUUCGUCAAUGCACAAUCUGAAACCAGUCAAAGGGGGAUUGAAGAGGUGAAGAAGCAGUAUUCAAACCUAAAACAAA